rnacentral:rRNA from 1 species
UCCUACGGGGGGCAGCAGUGAGGAAUAUUGGUCAAUGGUCGGGAGACUGAACCAGCCAAGCCGCGUGAGGGAUGAAGGUACAGAGUAUCGUAAACCUCUUUUGUCAGGGAACAAAGGCGGGGACGUGUCCCCGGAUGAGUGUACCUGAAGAAAAAGCAUCGGCUAACUCCGUGCCAGCAGCCGCGGUAAUACGGAGGAUGCGAGCGUUAUCCGGAUUUAUUGGGUUUAAAGGGUGCGUAGGCGGAGUGUCAAGUCAGCGGUAAAAUUUCGGGGCUCAACCCCGUCGUGCCGUUGAAACUGACACC